UACAGAGGUCCCGAGCGUUGUUCGGAUUCACUGGGCGUAAAGGGCGCGUAGGCGGUUCGUUAAGUCCUGUGUGAAAUCCCCCGGCUCAACUGGGGAACUGCACAGGAAACUAGCGGGCUUGAGUUCGGGAGAGGGAAGCGGAAUUCCGGGUGUAGCGGUGAAAUGCUUAGAUAUGACAUAGAACACCGAUAGCGAAGGCAGCUUGCUACACAGUCAUUGACACUGAGGCACGAAAGCGUGGGGAGCAAACAGG
rnacentral:rRNA from 1 species